UUGCAAGUAUAUUUUUCAUGUUUCUUUCUGUAUUUGCAGGUCACCAUCAAGCAAGUUUCAAAAUGGACCCGUAACCCUUGCAUUGAUAUUAAGUCUGACAAUAAUCCAGGCGAUGCCAAAUUAAAGACUGGCACCAUUCCCAAGGCAAAGGCUGGCACCGGUGUUGGCAAUCCAGUUCGAAAACCUAUUGUUGUUCCAUGUAGACAGACAACAAACCUGCAGUUCCCAAGAAGACGGCUGGUUUUCAUCCACGUGAUACCGAGGUGAAAGCAGAUAGCGAGGAGGUCGAUCCGGCACACAGAACCUUUUGUGAUGAUUAUUGUAUUGAUACAGAUAAUCCGCUUGGUAAAGGUAUUGGCACUGUGUUUCCGGGGACCAGUAAAGCCGAUGGCAAACCGCCUGGAUCUGGAUUGGUUCUUACAGAACUAGCAGUGUUGCUCAAGUUAAAGGAAAAUCCAAACCCUUAUGUGAUCAAACUUUAUGACAGCUACAGAUGUGGCCUUUAAAAACGCGUGUUUUCUCCCGCGGCAUUCGCCAAUUCGUCUCACGGAGUCUCGCAGAAUUCUGCAAGUGCUUUCGGGGGGGCUACUUUCCCUUUUCCCUUAAUGUGUUUCGCUUCACAGAAUAUCCACCAGGUGGCGCAUAAAAGUGUAUGCUUUGUCAUUGCGGUUGUUUCCAGAAGUUAAUAAGGGCUUUGCUGAAUAUAUAACAUUGCUAUUAAAACAGCAAAGUGACGUCAACCCCUUCUUGCCAGCAUAACAGCGCAUACAACUAAUAAGACGUGCAAUGCGCAUUUAUACUAAAGUGCAACAGAGACCCUUACGAAAAUAAACCAUGGGUUUAUUGUGGUAAAAGUGUAGUAAUCAUGUUUUUUUUGGUGUAUUGAUUACUACGGGUUUACUACACUUACCAUGGUACACCUUUAUACACCUUUCUGCUUUGUUUAAAUUGACAAGCAUUUUAUUCGCCACUGUCAACACGGUUUGUGAUUGAUUUACUGAUUUAUUACAGAAACUUGUCAGAAGCAAAGCUGUUGUUCUAAGCAUCUUUAAAUAUAUGUUUUGAAGUAAAAAAUGUUGUAAAAAAUAUAGUAGCAUUCUUAUGUAUGAAGAAUAACAAUAUGAUACAUUUAUAUUGCGCUAAAAUGCUUUACAUAUGGAAAGAGGAAUUAUUCUCAACCAUGGGCGGCGCUAGAGGUGGGCUAGCGGGGCUUGAGCCCCGGACCUAUUUUGUAAAGCCCCGAUUGUUAUAAUAUGGGCGUCACUAAUUUUAAUCUGUUAAAAUAUUUUCUAUUACAGCCGAACUGUAAACUCUCGUCAAGAACUGUCAACUUGCUCGUUUGAUUAUUUAUGUAGACGGUUAAAAACAUGUCUUAUAGACCUUUCUUUUCCCUUCCAAAGCGCGUGAGAGGUGGCGCGUCUUUCGUUGCUACUGUACGCAACCAUGAGCACGCUCUCCGUGACGGCAAGUGACUGAAUGCGUGAUCGGAUUUGAAUUGCUCAUAUUCAGGGAACUACACUGCGACCAAAAUGGUCGCAUAUGCAACCUUUUGAACUGCCGAUGCGACCCUAAUUUUUAAUGGGUCGCAAAUGUGCUACCUAAUGUUUUAGACAAUAUGCUAUGAUUUACUAUGAGCAUUUAUUAAAACAGAAAUGUGGAUUUUAAGAAUACGUUUUAUAACGUGCUCUGAGCCUUCAACAAGUUGGCUUCAUUUUGCGUGAAAGCACGUUGUGUCUCUCCCUAUGAGUCUGCAUUCGCAUGCGUUCGCGUGCUCUCUGUUUCUCAAUGAAUUGGGUGUGACGCGAAGCAAGCUCAGGCCACGUUUACAUGGAAACGAUCUGAAAAGAAACCGCAAAAGUGGCGUUGGGUUAUCACUUUUUAUUCCGCGUUUAUACAAGCAUUUUUAGGGGGAAAUCUGCGUGCAUAUGGUGACGCAAAAGUGUGUGAUUUUCGAUGUAGUAUGCACUCCAGGCGGCUAGGUGGCAAUGUGAAGCACUGAAACACAACAACACCCAGUCCGUGAGCCUGCGUACAACCUUCUUCCUGGUUCUCCCAGGUCUCGUCCAAAGCCGUCUGGUUUGCCUCCGACGAAUUGGCGCAUCAACAGUUUCACUGAGGUAAUUAACGCGCCUUCUCUGAUCAGUAAUACUUGCUGUGAAUAAUUUGUACAACUGCUGGAAAGACUUGUAUAUUUAUCAGAGCUGCUAUGGCAACUUGAGGGUCCGACGUAUGGAAAUAAUCUGACAUGUUUGUUGUUAUUUUCCUGAACUGGCGCAUGCCUGUGACGUAAACGCGUACGCGACGAGAGCCACCGUGAGCAGACUAAUGAAAUGAAAUUUAGGAAAAUUUAAUGAAAUUUAAUGUGAAAUUAAUAUUAAUUUUCAAUAAAUCAAAGUAUUGUGUUGUGUCACACAUUAUUAGUUCUUCGUCACAUGUAUAGUAGUAGACCAUUAUUUGUCAGUGGUUAAUGAUUGCCCUUUUCACCGGCUACCACCACAAGUAAAUUUCAGAUCUGUGGGAAACACUGCAACGUUUAAGAAAACAAGAAGGCAUGUGGUUUAAAAUAUGGCAAGUAAAAUAAAAAGCAUAUCUGUAUGCAAUACAGUUUCAUUAUUGUUCAUUAUUAUCCAGAGCGCCUUGAUGUAACUUGAAAAAAUAUGUGCGACCAAAUCAUAUUUUGCGCCAGUAAUCAGUGUUCGAAUUGAAGGGGGUCUGGGGGGGUCCUGGACCUGCCAUAAGCCUCGAGGGACCCCCCAUAAACCACAAAAAUAUAAAUUAGGGGGGUCCCCUGUUUUUUAUUAAAAUUAAUAUACAACGUGAAUUUAAAAUUCUCAUGUUGCGCUGUCACAAAGCGAUAGGCUGCUGUCCGUUAUUUGUCCCAAUUUUACAAUAAACUAAUUCAAAUGAUUUCAGUCUGAAUAAAUAAAUAAAUAUUCUUCUCAAACUAUUAUUUCAUAACAGUGGCGAGACUACACAAUCAAAUUGACAGCUGGUCCACCAAGUCAAAAGAAACACAAAAUAUUUUAUUGGGAAAGCAGAAGAAAUCACACAUAAAUGAUAAUAAAUUAGCCUAGUGUCUUUUUAAAACGAAUCGCUCAAAUACGCAUCAUUCAGAAAUAAAUAACUAUUUAUAGAAAGCUUAUUUUUUGCAUGUGUGGUUUUAAACCUUGCAAGUGUUAACAUGCAAGCGAUUUUAAACAAUUUGAGCGCAAGAUGUUAAAGUAAGCUCAGCUGUUUUGUGUGUGCACAGGCAAUGACGCGCACACAUACUCAAAUGGACGCACACUCAUAAGCGGACGCACGGAGACGCACAUUUCUAAAGCAUGCAAACACAAAAUUAUUUUGAAAUACCACAGUCUUGGCACCUAUUCUCAUAAAAACAUUCAAUUAUGUCUUAAAGUAAGUGCAAACAGUUCAGAAAGAAGUCAAAUCUGUGUUCUUAUCUGCUUGUGUUUCUGUCAUUUAUAUUAAUAAAAAAAAAAAGGAAAAUCACUUCUGUAUCUUUAAAAAGAUUAAUUAUAUUUAAUUUAUACGAUGAAGAAGACAGUGUUAUUAUUCAUUUGAUUAUAUUUAUGUACCUAAAUGCUACUGUUAGAUCUUUAUUUGUAACUUUGUUCUUUUCUAUUUUUAUAUGCUAAUCAUUUCUUAAUUUG